rnacentral:rRNA from 1 species
GGUUAAGCGACUAAGCGUACACGGUGGAUGCCCUGGCAGUCAGAGGCGAUGAAGGACGUGCUAAUCUGCGAUAAGCGUCGGUAAGGUGAUAUGAACCGUUAUAACCGGCGAUUUCCGAAUGGGGAAACCCAGUGUGUUUCGACACACUAUCAUUAACUGAAUCCAUAGGUUAAUGAGGCGAACCGGGGGAACUGAAACAUCUAAGUACCCCGAGGAAAAGAAAUCAACCGAGAUUCCCCCAGUAGCGGCGAGCGAACGGGGAGGAGCCCAGAGCCUGAAUCAGUGUGUGUGUUAGUGGAAGCGUCUGGAAAGGCGCGCGAUACAGGGUGACAGCCCCGUACACAAAAAUGCACAUAUUGUGAGCUCGAUGAGUAGGGCGGGACACGUGGUAUCCUGUCUGAAUAUGGGGGGACCAUCCUCCAAGGCUAAAUACUCCUGACUGACCGAUAGUGAACCAGUACCGUGAGGGAAAGGCGAAAAGAACCCCGGCGAGGGGAGUGAAAAAGAACCUGAAACCGUGUACGUACAAGCAGUGGGAGCACGCUUAGGCGUGUGACUGCGUACCUUUUGUAUAAUGGGUCAGCGACUUAUAUUCUGUAGCAAGGUUAACCGAAUAGGGGAGCCGAAGGGAAACCGAGUCUUAACUGGGCGUUAAGUUGCAGGGUAUAGACCCGAAACCCGGUGAUCUAGCCAUGGGCAGGUUGAAGGUUGGGUAACACUAACUGGAGGACCGAACCGACUAAUGUUGAAAAAUUAGCGGAUGACUUGUGGCUGGGGGUGAAAGGCCAAUCAAACCGGGAGAUAGCUGGUUCUCCCCGAAAGCUAUUUAGGUAGCGCCUCGUGAAUUCAUCUCCGGGGGUAGAGCACUGUUUCGGCAAGGGGGUCAUCCCGACUUACCAACCCGAUGCAAACUGCGAAUACCGGAGAAUGUUAUCACGGGAGACACACGGCGGGUGCUAACGUCCGUCGUGAAGAGGGAAACAACCCAGACCGCCAGCUAAGGUCCCAAAGUCAUGGUUAAGUGGGAAACGAUGUGGGAAGGCCCAGACAGCCAGGAUGUUGGCUUAGAAGCAGCCAUCAUUUAAAGAAAGCGUAAUAGCUCACUGGUCGAGUCGGCCUGCGCGGAAGAUGUAACGGGGCUAAACCAUGCACCGAAGCUGCGGCAGCGACGCUGAUGCGUUGUUGGGUAGGGGAGCGUUCUGUAAGCCUGCGAAGGUGUGCUGUGAGGCAUGCUGGAGGUAUCAGAAGUGCGAAUGCUGACAUAAGUAACGAUAAAGCGGGUGAAAAGCCCGCUCGCCGGAAGACCAAGGGUUCCUGUCCAACGUUAAUCGGGGCAGGGUGAGUCGACCCCUAAGGCGAGGCCGAAAGGCGUAGUCGAUGGGAAACAGGUUAAUAUUCCUGUACUUGGUGUUACUGCGAAGGGGGGACGGAGAAGGCUAUGUUGGCCGGGCGACGGUUGUCCCGGUUUAAGCGUGUAGGCUGGUUUUCCAGGCAAAUCCGGAAAAUCAAGGCUGAGGCGUGAUGACGAGGCACUACGGUGCUGAAGCAACAAAUGCCCUGCUUCCAGGAAAAGCCUCUAAGCAUCAGGUAACAUCAAAUCGUACCCCAAACCGACACAGGUGGUCAGGUAGAGAAUACCAAGGCGCUUGAGAGAACUCGGGUGAAGGAACUAGGCAAAAUGGUGCCGUAACUUCGGGAGAAGGCACGCUGAUAUGUAGGUGAAGUCCCUUGCGGAUGGAGCUGAAAUCAGUCGAAGAUACCAGCUGGCUGCAACUGUUUAUUAAAAACACAGCACUGUGCAAACACGAAAGUGGACGUAUACGGUGUGACGCCUGCCCGGUGCCGGAAGGUUAAUUGAUGGGGUCAGCGCAAGCGAAGCUCUUGAUCGAAGCCCCGGUAAACGGCGGCCGUAACUAUAACGGUCCUAAGGUAGCGAAAUUCCUUGUCGGGUAAGUUCCGACCUGCACGAAUGGCGUAAUGAUGGCCAGGCUGUCUCCACCCGAGACUCAGUGAAAUUGAACUCGCUGUGAAGAUGCAGUGUACCCGCGGCAAGACGGAAAGACCCCGUGAACCUUUACUAUAGCUUGACACUGAACAUUGAGCCUUGAUGUGUAGGAUAGGUGGGAGGCUUGGAAGUGUGGACGCCAGUCUGCAUGGAGCCGACCUUGAAAUACCACCCUUUAAUGUUUGAUGUUCUAACGUUGACCCGUGAUCCGGGUUGCGGACAGUGUCUGGUGGGUAGUUUGACUGGGGCGGUCUCCUCCUAAAGAGUAACGGAGGAGCACGAAGGUUGGCUAAUCCUGGUCGGACAUCAGGAGGUUAGUGCAAUGGCAUAAGCCAGCUUGACUGCGAGCGUGACGGCGCGAGCAGGUGCGAAAGCAGGUCAUAGUGAUCCGGUGGUUCUGAAUGGAAGGGCCAUCGCUCAACGGAUAAAAGGUACUCCGGGGAUAACAGGCUGAUACCGCCCAAGAGUUCAUAUCGACGGCGGUGUUUGGCACCUCGAUGUCGGCUCAUCACAUCCUGGGGCUGAAGUAGGUCCCAAGGGUAUGGCUGUUCGCCAUUUAAAGUGGUACGCGAGCUGGGUUUAGAACGUCGUGAGACAGUUCGGUCCCUAUCUGCCGUGGGCGCUGGAGAACUGAGGGGGGCUGCUCCUAGUACGAGAGGACCGGAGUGGACGCAUCACUGGUGUUCGGGUUGUCAUGCCAAUGGCACUGCCCGGUAGCUAAAUGCGGAAGAGAUAAGUGCUGAAAGCAUCUAAGCACGAAACUUGCCCCGAGAUGAGUUCUCCCUGACUCCUUGAGAGUCCUGAAGGAACGUUGAAGACGACGACGUUGAUAGGCCGGGUGUGUAAGCGCAGCGAUGCGUUGAGCUAACCGGUACUAAUGAACCGUGAGGCUUAACCUU